rnacentral:rRNA from 1 species
AGGGGGAGCAAUCCCCCCUAGAGCGGCGGACUGGUGAGUAACACGUGGGUGACCUGCCUUUGUCUUGGGGAUAGCCAUUAGAAAUAGUGGGUAAUACCGAAUACGCUUGCACACGUAGAGGUGUGUAAGGAAAGGCGCUACGGCGCCGGACGAAGAUGGGCCCGCGUCCCAUUAGCUAGUUGGUGAGGUAACGGCUCACCAAGGCGAUGAUGGGUAGGCGGCCUGAGAGGGUGUACGCCCACAUUGGGACUGAGAUACGGCCCAAACUCCUACGGGAGGCAGCAGCUAAGAAUAUUCCGCAAUGGACGAAAGUCUGACGGAGCGACGCCGCGUGGAUGACGAAGGCCGAAAGGUUGUAAAAUCCUUUUGCUGGGGAAGAAUAAGCAUGGGAGGGAAUGCCCGUGUGAUGACAUGAACCGGCGAAUAAGCCCCGGCUAACUA